CAAUAGCGUAUAUUAAAGUUGUUGCGGUUAAAAAGCUCGUAGUUGGAUUUCUGUUGAGAACGUCCGGUCCGCACUAUGUGCGUGUAUCUGGUUCGGUCUUGGCGUCCUCUUGAGGAACGUAUCUGCGCUUGAUUGCGUGGAGCGGUAUUCAAGACUUUUACUUUGAGGAAAUUAGAGUGUUCACGGCAGGCAAGCGCCUUGAAUACGUUAGCAUGGAAUAAUAAUAUAGGAUCUUGGUUCUAUUUUGUUGGUUUCUAGGGCUAAGGUAAUGAUUAAUAGGGAUAAUUGGGGGCAUUUGUAUUAACGCGUCAGAGGUGGAAUUCUUGGAUUGCGUUACGACAAACUACUGCGAAAGCAUUUGCCAAGGAUGUUUNCAUUGA
rnacentral:rRNA from 1 species